rnacentral:rRNA from 1 species
CGCGUAGGCGGCCGAGCAAGUCUUGGGUGAAAUCCCUCGGCUCAACCGAGGAACUGCCUUGGAAACUGCUUGGCUUGAGGCCGGGAGAGGGUGGUGGAAUUCCCAGUGUAGCGGUGAAAUGCGUAGAUAUUGGGAGGAACACCAGUGGCGAAGGCGGCCACCUGGACCGGUCCUGACGCUGAGGCGCGAAAGCGUGGGGAGCAAACAGGAUUAGAUACCCUGGUAGUCCACGCCCUAAACGAUGGGUACUCGGUGUCGCGGGUAUCAACCCCCGCGGUGCCUUAGCUAACGCGUUAAGUACCCCGCCUGGGGAGUACGGUCGCAAGGCUGAA